rnacentral:rRNA from 1 species
AUGGACGAAAGUCUGAUGGAGCAACGCCGCGUGAGUGAUGAAGGGUUUCGGCUCGUAAAACUCUGUUGUUGGAGAAGAACAGGUGUGAGAGUAACUGUUCACAUCUUGACGGUAUCCAACCAGAAAGCCACGGCUAACUACGUGCCAGCAGCCGCGGUAAUACGUAGGUGGCAAGCGUUGUCCGGAUUUAUUGGGCGUAAAGCGAGCGCAGGCGGUUUUUUAGGUCUGAUGUGAAAGCCUUCGGCUUAACCGGAGAAGUGCAUCGGAAACCGGGAGACUUGAGUGCAGAAGAGGACAGUGGAACUCCAUGUGUAGCGGUGAAAUGCGUAGAUAUAUGGAAGAACACCAGUGGCGAAGGCGGCUGUCUGGUCUGUAACUGACGCUGAGGCUCGAAAGCAUGGGUAGCGAACAGGAUUAGAUACCCUGGUAGUCCAUGCCGUAAACGAUGAGUGCUAAGUGUUGGAGGGUUUCCGCCCUUCAGUGCUGCAGCUAACGCAUUAAGCACUCCGCCUGGGGAGUACGACCGCAAGGUUGAAACUCAAAGGAAUUGACGGGGGCCCGCACAAGCGGUGGAGCAUGUGGUUUAAUUCGAUGCUACGCGAAGAACCUUACCAGGUCUUGACAU